AAUCAACGCUGGCGGCGUGCCUAACACAUGCAAGUCGAACGAGAAGGUGACUUCGGUCACUGGAUAGUGGCGUCCGGGUGAGUAACACGUAGGUAAUCUACCUUCGGGUGGGGAAUAACGUCUCGAAAGAGACGCUAAUACCGCAUAAUGCAGCGGCACCUAAUGGUGAUUAGUUGUUAAAGCGGGGGAGUCUUCGGACCUCGCGCCUGAAGAGGAGCCUGCGGCAGAUUAGCUAGUUGGUGAGGUAAUGGCUCACCAAGGCUUCGAUCUGUAGCUGGUCUGAGAGGACGGCCAGCCACACUGGCACUGACACACGGGCCAGACUCCUACGGGAGGCAGCAGUGGGGAAUUUUGGGCAAUGGGCGAAAGCCUGACCCAGCAACGCCGCGUGAAGGAGGAAAUCCUUCGGGAUGUAAACUUCAUAAGUAAGGGAAGAAAGCUGCGGAUCGAAUAAGUCCGCAGUCCGACGGUACCUUACGU
rnacentral:rRNA from 1 species